CCCUUAGAUGUUCUGGGCGGCCCGCGCACUACAUUGGCACUCUCAAUAAGUUCCUAGAUCUAAAACUUUGGGGUAUUCUAUUAAGUGGUGUCGCGACUGGGAUUAACCCUUGCAAUUAUUGGUUACGAACGAGGAAUUCCUUGUAAUCGCGGUUUAUCAGCCCGCGUUGAAUGCGUCCCUGCCCUUUGUACACACCGCCCGUCGCUCCUACCGAUGAAUCGUCCGGUGAAGUUCAUGGAGUGGUGGUUGUUCCAGCUGCUGUCGAAGUGAAAUGGACCUCACGAUUUAGAGGAAGGAGAAGUCGUAACA
rnacentral:rRNA from 1 species